rnacentral:rRNA from 1 species
UGACCUCAAAUCAGGUAGGACUACCCGCUGAACUUAAGCAUAUCAUUAAGCGGAGGAAAAGAAACUAACAAGGAUUCCCCUAGUAACUGCGAGUGAAGAGGGAAGAGCUCAAAUUUAAAAUCUGGCAGCUCCGCUGUCCGAGUUGUAAUCUGUAGAAGCAUUUUCUGCAUUGGACCGUGUACAAGUCUCUUGGAACAGAGUGUCAUAGAGGGUGAGAAUCCCGUCCAUGACACGGACUACCAAUGCUCUGUGAUAUGCUCUCAAAGAGUCGAGUUGCUUGGGAAUGCAGCUCAAAAUGGGUGGUAAAUUCCAUCUAAAGCUAAAUACAGGCAAGAGACCGAUAGCGAACAAGUACCGUGAGGGAAAGAUGAAAAGCACUUUGGAAAGAGAGUUAAACAGUAUGUGAAAUUGUUGAAAGGGAAACACUUGAAGUCAGUCACAUCCUGCAGGACUCAGCCUUGCCUUGUUAGGCCUGGUGUAUUUCCUGCAGGAUGGGUCAACAUCAAUCUUGGUCAGUGGAUAAAGGAGGAGGGAAUGUGGCACCCUUGCGGGUGUGUUAUAGCCCUCCUUCAUAUGCACUGACUGGGAUUGAGGACUGCAGCAUGUCCUUUUGGACAUGCUUAGGAUGUUGACAAAAUGGCUUUAAGUGACCCGUCUUGAAACACGGACCAAGGAGUCUAACAUGCCUGCAAGUGUUUGGGUGGAAAACCCUUGCGCACAAUGAAAGUGAAAGUUGGGAACCUCCGCAAGGGGGUGCACUGACACCCAGCCCUGAUGUUUACUGACGGUGCUGCGGUAGAGCAUGUAUGUUGGGACCCGAAAGAUGGUGAACUAUGCCUGAAUAGGGUGAAGCCAGAGGAAACUCUGGUGGAAGCUCGUAGCGAUUCUGACGUGCAAAUCGAUCGUCAAAUUUGGGUAUAGGGGCGAAAGACUAAUCGACCAUCUAGUAGCUGGUUCCUGCCGAAGUUUCCCUCAGGAUAGCAGAAACUCAUAUCAGAUUUAUGUGGUAAAGCGAAUGAUUAGAGGCCUUGGGGUUGAAACAACCUUAACCUAUUCUCAAACUUU